CCUGCCGGCAAUCAUAUGCUAGUUUUAAAGAUUAAGCCAUGCAUGUUUAAAUUUAGGGCUCUAAUCUGAAAUUGCGGACGGCUCAUUAAAUCGGAGAAAAGAUACCCAGAAGAUGAUUAUAUGGAUAUCUCGGGUAAUUCUAGAGUUAAUACAUGUCCCUUUCGGGGGAUGUUUGGUGGUAAAAUUUUCGGUCUGAUAGCAAUAUCUACCAAUAAAGUGAGUACCCACCUAGCGUACCGGUCUCAGACCGGGUUUUUGGUUUCUUUUCUGAUCUAUCACUUAUUUAUGGAUAUAGAGUAUCCAUGAGAGGAUAACGGGUGACGGGGAACAAGGGUUUGGUUCCGGAGAGGGUGCCUGAGAGAUGGCAACUACUUCCAAGGAAGGCAUCAGGCGCGCAAAUUACCCAAUCUCAACGUGAGGAGGUAGUGACAAAACAUAACGAUGGAGUCCUUUAAAGGGCUCUAAUUGGAAUGAGUACAAUUUAAAAAAUUUAACGAGUAACGAUUAGAGGGAGAGUCUGGUGCCAGCAGCCGCGGUAAUUCCAGCUCUAAUAGCGUAUAUUAAAGUUGUUGCAGUUAAAAAGCUCGUAGCCAAAAUUAUCCGGGUACGCUCUGGAAGGGUUUCCCGACCGGGGUGAAUUCGGAUAGUUUUUGAGCUCUAAAGUACACUUAACUGGGUAUUUUAGGGUGUUCAUUAUUGUUAACCUUGAAAAAAUACAACCGUUCAAAAGAGGCUUAUGCCAGUAGAUCAAAGCAAGGGAUUAUAGAAUAGGGUGUCUGUAUUCACGGACCGGGGAUACAGGUGCAAUGAUUAAUAGAGGCAAGCGGGGGUGUUCGUAUAAGUGAGGGAGAGGUGAAAUUCUUGGAUCUUCCUUAGACGUCCUAAUGCGAAGGCAUUCACCAAGUGUGUUUUAAUUAGUCAAGAACGAAAGUUAGGGGAUCGAAGACGAUCAGAUACCGUCGUAGUCCUAUCUGUAAACGAUACCGACCAGGGAUUAAGGACCGUUUAUUAAUGACUUCCUCAGCACCUAAUAAGAAAUUAGAGUCUUUGGGUUCCGGGGGAGUAUGGUCGCAAGGCUGAAACUUAAAGGAAUUGACGG
rnacentral:rRNA from 1 species